AGUAUGUGUGUUAGUGGAAGCGUCUGGAAAGGCGCGCGAUACAGGGUGACAGCCCCGUACACAAAAAUGCACAUGCUGUGAGCUCGAUGAGUAGGGCGGGACACGUGGUAUCCUGUCUGAAUAUGGGGGGACCAUCCUCCAAGGCUAAAUACUCCUGACUGACCGAUAGUGAACCAGUACCGUGAGGGAAAGGCGAAAAGAACCCCGGCGAGGGGAGUGAAAAAGAACCUGAAACCGUGUACGUACAAGCAGUGGGAGCACGCUUAGGCGUGUGACUGCGUACCUUUUGUAUAAUGGGUCAGCGACUUAUAUUCUGUAGCAAGGUUAACCGAAUAGGGGAGCCGAAGGGAAACCGAGUCUUAACUGGGCGUUAAGUUGCAGGGUAUAGACCCGAAACCCGGUGAUCUAGCCAUGGGCAGGUUGAAGGUUGGGUAACACUAACUGGAGGACCGAACCGACUAAUGUUGAAAAAUUAGCGGAUGACUUGUGGCUGGGGGUGAAAGGCCAAUCAAACCGGGAGAUAGCUGGUUCUCCCCGAAAGCUAUUUAGGUAGCGCCUCGUGAAUUCAUCUCCGGGGGUAGAGCACUGUUUCGGCAAGGGGGUCAUCCCGACUUACCAACCCGAUGCAAACUGCGAAUACCGGAGAAUGUUAUCACGGGAGACACACGGCGGGUGCUAACGUCCGUCGUGAAGAGGGAAACAACCCAGACCGCCAGCUAAGGUCCCAAAGUCAUGGUUAAGUGGGAAACGAUGUGGGAAGGCCCAGACAGCCAGGAUGUUGGCUUAGAAGCAGCCAUCAUUUAAAGAAAGCGUAAUAGCUCACUGGUCGAGUCGGCCUGCGCGGAAGAUGUAACGGGGCUAAACCAUGCACCGAAGCUGCGGCAGCGACGCUGAUGCGUUGUUGGGUAGGGGAGCGUUCUGUAAGCCUG
rnacentral:rRNA from 1 species